CUUGUUUUGUUCUUGGUUGCUUAACUCAAGGACAAAUCCUCUGAGGAAGGAAAAGCAACUUUAAGGUUAUAAUUGACUCCCAGGAAUUCUGAACAUAAUGUCUAUAAUUAGACACAGAAAAAAAUCAAGGUAGCAUUGUGUUUAUUUCACUGGCUCCAUCUCCUGUGCUUUUGGCACUGUGGCUCUUCUGCUGAGCUUCAGACAGUUGACUGAGCUGUUAAAUUAUUCUUCACCAGGAUAAACAGCUGAGGAAGCCCCACAGCUCACUCAAGCACAGUGCUUCUGUCCUCGGGAGGACCGGUUUUGAUGACCUAGUCUGAUUACAGCAUCUUUGACAGCUUUAAAGGAAUUUGCUCGGGGGAAGGAGACAGCUGCUGCUCUGAUGAAGGAUUUUUCUGAGCAGGCCUCCCAAGCUAGACAUGUCAGUAUGAGAUGCUGCCAACAUUUUCCGUCAUGACCAACAGGUUGUUAAACCGCAAUCAAAAGGACUUAGUAGGAAUGGAUCUGUCCCUGUUAUGAGGUUUGAACUCCUGACAUCCUUAUUCACUGGAAUUUGACUGCCCAGGACGCAGCAGAGAGGGGAUUUUGAGAGCAUGUUUCACACGCCCUGCAGCUGUGAGCCGGUUGCAGCAUGAGGAAAAGCCCUCCAUCACCUCAAUGUACAGGAAAGAGAAGGUAAGGUGACUCUCUCCAAGUGGCUUUUAGAUAUGGUACAUUCAGUGAAGACCCCCAGCCUAGUGAAAUCUGUUCUCCACCA